rnacentral:rRNA from 1 species
UGGGGAAUUUUGGACAAUGGGCGCAAGCCUGAUCCAGCAAUGCCGCGUGCAGGAUGAAGGCCUUCGGGUUGUAAACUGCUUUUGUACGGAACGAAAAGCCUCUCUCUAAUACAGGGGGGUGAUGACGGUACCGUAAGAAUAAGCACCGGCUAACUACGUGCCAGCAGCCGCGGUAAUACGUAGGGUGCAAGCGUUAAUCGGAAUUACUGGGCGUAAAGCGUGCGCAGGCGGUUUUGUAAGACAGUGGUGAAAUCCCCGGGCUCAACCUGGGAACUGCCAUUGUGACUGCAAGGCUGGAGUGCGGCAGAGGGGGAUGGAAUUCCGCGUGUAGCAGUGAAAUGCGUAGAUAUGCGGAGGAACACCGAUGGCGAAGGCAAUCCCCUGGGCCUGCACUGACGCUCAUGCACGAAAGCGUGGGGAGCAAACAGGAUUAGAUACCCUGGUAGUCCACGCCCUAAAACGAUGUCAACUGGUUGUUGGGGAUUUAUUUCUUCAGUAACGAAGCUAACGCGUGAAGUUGACCGCCUGGGGGAGUACGGCCGCAAGGUUAAAAACUC